CCACCUCCGACUAUGUCUGUCUCCUCAUCAACACCCGCUCUGGCUGUGUGUCUCCAUACAUCCCAUCUCUGACUGUGUGUGUGUCUGUCCUCACCUACCCCCCUCCAACUGUGUGUUUCCAUACACCCCACCUCCGACUGUCUGUGUGUGUGUCUGUCCUCACCUACCCCCCUCCGGCUGCCUGUCUCCAUACACCCCCCUCCAACUGUCUGUGUGUCUGUCUGUCCUCACCUACCCCCCUCUGGCUGUGUGUCUCCAAACACCCCCUCUCCGACUAUCUGUCUGUCCUCAUCAACCCCCCUCCAACUGUCUGUCUCCAUACACACCCCUCCGGCUGCCUGUCCCCGUAUGGACCCCUCCAGCUGUCUGUCUGUCUGUCUCUAGACACACCCCUCUGGCUGUCCGUCCCCAUAUUCACCAUUCCGUCCGUCCAUCCCUGAGCGCCCCUGUCAGUCUGUCUGUGCCCCCCCGCCCCACACACACACAACCUCUGUUCCGGUUUCUGGACUCACAGACUCUGCUCCUUCGAGGACCCCCCCAGACCCCCCGCCCGCUCGGAUCUCUCCUGCAUGGAUCUUCCAUGGAUCGCACAAGCAAUAAGCUACGCGCUGGCCUCUCUGGCUGCAUGCCGCCGGCCCCAGGACAUACAGACUUCGCGGACCGUCGGGUCGGACGGACGGAGGAGUGCCGGCGUGGGGUGAGGGGGGGGCAGCCGGCUCCCCCCCCACACCUUCCUCCUCCUCUUCCUCCCCUGCCCUGAGGUCGUGCCCCCCUCCUGGCGCGGCCCGUCACUGUGAUCCCCACCCCGGCUGCGCCCCAGGGCCGGAUGCCGGCGCCAGCGGAACCGAGGGCCCCGGCGGCCGGAGGUGGGACCAGCGUGUGUGUGUGUGGGGAGGGGGCUCCUCCCUGUGGGCGCAGGAUCAGGACCGCCCCCCCCCGAGCUGAUCUCCAAGUUGCAUUGUGCCAGCCAGCAUGUGUCUGCAUGUCAAUCCGCUCGUGUUAUAUGCAAAACUUCCCCCC
rnacentral:lncRNA from 1 species